GAAAAACAUGGGAACAACUGCACAUUAAAGGGACCACAAGGAAAAUGUUCCUUUGUAAUCAAGAGGUCAGAAUGUCCUUCUUGGGAGGUUCUAGUACCGCAAAGAUGGAGGAGUGGAGAGAGGAAUCAGCUCCACUGCCCAGGGAUUUGGGGCUGGGAGGCUGCGCUCCACAGGAGCUGUGUGAGGAGGGGUGGAGGACACCACCCACCCUCACAGACAGCCACGGCCGCCGCCCGUCUGAAGGACAAAGGCAGUGCAGGCUGCCAAGGCAGCCAUGUCUUGGUCAGAGUCGCUGGUCAGUGAUGUCUCCCUGAGAGCUGGCCGAGGGCUGACCUUCCUCAGAGCUGAGAAGCUGGGCCCCCUCGCUGCUCUUGUUCUCUAGUAAAAGGCUGACGAGAAGGAGUUUUGUCAACUUGUUCAAACUGAGGUACAGAAAUGCUCACAAGGCUGGGAGUUAGCCUUCUAGCACCAUCUGUAUUCUAACUGAGGGGCCAGAGAAGUCUUAAACAAGAAAAUUCCCUAGCUAGGGAGGCCUUUCUGUUUCCUGCAGUCACGCUGCCGCUGGCUGACCCUGGGAAGGACAGCACGGGUCACUGAUGUGGGUUAUCUGGCAGCAUUCUGUGGGGAGGCUUCUGGGAAAGCCAGGUGCUCAGGGUAAAAAGAGAACUGUGUGGUCUCUCUGCAAGGGUCACUCGGCUCAACCCACAUGGGCAGCGAGGCGGCAACGAGCAGUUUUUGGAUGUGGAGCGGCGCUCGCCCCCGAAAGUCGAUUUGGUUGUGUUGGAAAUCUGUGAGCGGCCCAACCCCCUUCCUCUGGCUCUUCACCUGAGUCCAAAUGGUGUGGUGACUGCUUUUCACCUUCAGAGGGCAGAACUAUACCCCAGCUUGAAAUGGAAUGAUGUCCUAAAGACUUUAGAUAUUGUAGCCAAGAACCUUCCUCUUGAAAAAUGAACCAUUAAAUGUGAUGCAUUUAUGGUAGGUUCUCCUCUACAUGGAUUACUCUCUGGUGGAUUUCUCAAGUUUAAAGUUUGCCUUCCCCCAGCUGGAUGCUAUAUUUCACUGUGUGGUGACUGCUAUUAUACCCACAGAUCAAAGCAUCCUAACUCAUAAAAGAACAUUCCCAAGUAGUAGGCUUUUAGUAUAUUACCUGCAAAGAUGUUUUAGUUGUAUUUUUUUUGCUACUGUUAACGUUAUUGGAAACACACACACACACACACACACACACACAAGCUAUAGAUUUUUCUUCAGUUGUCUCUUUGAUAUUCUAUU